AUUGAACGCUGGCGGCAUGCCUUACACAUGCAAGUCGAACGGCAGCAUAGGAGCUUGCUCCUGAUGGCGAGUGGCGAACGGGUGAGUAAUAUAUCGGAACGUGCCCUAGAGUGGGGGAUAACUAGUCGAAAGAUUAGCUAAUACCGCAUACGAUCUAAGGAGGAAAGUGGGGGAUCGCAAGACCUCAUGCUCGGGGAGCGGCCGAUAUCUGAUUAGCUAGUUGGUGGGGUAAAAGCUCACCAAGGCGACGAUCAGUAGCUGGUCUGAGAGGACGACCAGCCACACUGGGACUGAGACACGGCCCAGACUCCUACGGGAGGCAGCAGUGGGGAAUUUUGGACAAUGGGGGCAACCCUGAUCCAGCAAUGCCGCGUGAGUGAAGAAGGCCUUCGGGUUGUAAAGCUCUUUUGUCAGGGAAGAAACGGUGAGAGCUAAUAUCUCUUGCUAAUGACGGUACCUGAAGAAUAAGCACCGGCUAACUACGUGCCAGCCGCCGCCGUAA
rnacentral:rRNA from 1 species